GCUCAUCGUGGGUUGUGGAGUGUCCUCUCUGACGUUGCUGUUACUCAUCAUCAUCUAUGUGUCUGUGUGGAGGUACAUUAGAUCAGAGCGCUCUGUGAUCCUCAUUAACUUCUGCCUCUCCAUCAUCUCCUCUAAUGCCCUUAUUCUCAUUGGACAGACUCAGACAAGGAAUAAGAUCUUAUGCACCCUGAUUGCAGCUUUCCUUCAUUUCUUCUUCCUGUCUUCGUUCUGCUGGGUUCUGACCGAGGCGUGGCAGUCGUACAUGGCAGUGACGGGUCGCCUUAGGAA